rnacentral:rRNA from 1 species
CCUACGGGCGGCAGCAGUGGGGAAUAUUUCACAAUGGGGGAAACCCUGAUGCUGCGACGCCGCGUGAGUGAAGAAGUAUCUCGGUACGUAAAGCUCUAGCAGCAGGGAAGAAAAUGACGGUACCUGACUAAGAAGCCCCGGCUAACUACGUGCCAGCAGCCGCGGUAAUACGUAGGGGGCAAGCGUUAGCCGGAUUUACUGGGUGUAAAGGGAGCGUAGACGGCAGCGAAAGUCUGGAGUGAAAUCCCGGGGCUUAACCCCGGAACUGCUUUGGAAACUGUGCGGCUGGAGUGCAGGAGGGGUAAGCGGAAUUCCUAGUGUGGCAGUGAAAUGCGUAGAUAUUAGGAGGAACACCGGUGGCGAAGGCGGCUUACUGGACUGUAACUGACGUUGAGGCUCGAAAGCGAGGGGAGCAAACAGGAUUAGAUACCCCGGUAGUC